rnacentral:lncRNA from 1 species
AAAAAUAAUAUACAACGAGUGUGGUUACGCUAUAUUGCAAAAAUUUUAUUUUUUUAUUUUAUGCAAGUUUAUAUUUCAAGAAGAUGAAGCCAAUAAAUUUUGGUAUCGUUGGAUUGUUAUAUUUUAUAUACUGAACUGAAAAGGCUAGCGCACUAAACUGCUAUGAGUGCAGUGACCAGACUGGAAUAGAUCCAAUUGGCUGCGAAAGUGGGAAGAAUAUGCAUCCUGCUUGGAGUAUUUCUUGCUAUUCUCCUCCGGGCAGCAAGCUGAGACCUGCUUGUGUAGCUGCUGUAAUAGAUGGCAAGUGAAUGUUUCUGUUUUCUGAUUAAUGACAUAUUCUACAGACUUUGCGGAGACGGCAACACAUGCAAUGAGAUAAAAUCAGAAAUUGGAUUUAAAUGGUGUAAAAGUUGUACUACCGACUUAUGUAACACUCACACUUCUUGUGUCUCCGUUAUUACACCAACUUUAUUAACUCCAAUCAUUAUUUUUAUAGCAUUACCAAGUUACUUUUAAUUAUAAGUUUUGUAGAAGUUGAAUUUUUGUAAACAUACUUGUAGAAGUUUUUUAAUCAAAAAAUCACAACAUUUUUUUUUAGUUUUAGUAUUUGUUUCUUGUUACUCUAUUGAAAGGUUACUGGCCGCUAUAUUUCAACUGAUCUAUCUGGGGUGAAGUCAGAUUUGUGUGUUAUAUUAUACAUAAAUUUGUUACACUCAGUACUAUUUUGUAAAAACCUUUUUUGUGUAAUAAUGUAAUAUACCAAUAUCUACCUGCUUGUAAAAUUAUACAGAGUCGUCCCUAAUAACAAUCACGUGGAAGCGAGUUUAUUUUUAAUUUAAAAAAUCAGAUACAAUUAUUAAUUGAGGAGUUUGCUGUAAGAAGGGUGCAGCUCCACAUUUGGUAAUUGUUGGGAAAUUGAAAAAACUGUUUUUUAAUAAAAGUUUUUAUUUUAUUCCGAAAGACAUAAUAUCAAUCGAUGACAAACAGAUUUAGUCAAUAUUUGAGACUAUUUUGAAGUAGAUAAUUUUUGAAAAAUAAGAAAAAAAAAUGAAAACAAGUUGGACUUGCAUCUUUCUUGCACCAAACACGUGAAAUAAUGCUUCUUUACCACCAUUUUUGAGAA